CAGUCGCCACGGGAAUACGUAGGUGGCAAGCGUUGUCCGGAAUUAUUGGUCGUAAAGCGCGCGCAGGUGGUUUAAUAAGUCUGAUGUGAAAGCCCACGGCUCAACCGUGGAGGGUCAUUGGAAACUGUUAAACUUGAGUGCAGGAGAGAAAAGUGGAAUUCCUAGUGUAGCGGUGAAAUGCGUAGAGAUUAGGAGGAACACCAGUGGCGAAGGCGGCUUUUUGGCCUGUAACUGACACUGAGGCGCGAAAGCGUGGGGAGCAAACAGGAUUAGAUACCCCGGUAGUCCCUGUCUCUUAUAA
rnacentral:rRNA from 1 species